UACGUAGGGGGCAAGCGUUGUCCGGAUUUAUUGGGCGUAAAGAGCGUGUAGGCGGCCAGACAGGUCAGCUGUGAAAACUCGAGGCUCAACCUCGAGACGUCGGUUGAAACCGUCUGGCUAGAGUCCGGAAGAGGAGAGUGGAAUUCCCGGUGUAGCGGUGAAAUGCGCAGAUAUCAGGAGGAACACCGGUGGCGAAGGCGGAUCUCUGGGCCUUACCUGACGCUCAGGCGCGAAAGCUAGGGGAGCGAACAGG
rnacentral:rRNA from 1 species